UCAAAUUGUGUGCCAUCACUUACUCCCCUCAAUGGUUGAAGGCAAUGAUGCUAUGCAGCCUAUGCCUACAUCGUCGAUGCAAUCUUCGUAUGCUUCAGGGGGCUUGACUCCAUAUGUUAAUCUUUAAAGUAAAGGGAGGAUACUAGAUGAACAUCGUUCUAGGAAAAAAAGGCCCUAGAUUACCUCUACAUUAACAGAUUCCUCAAUCCCUAUUUUAGACUAUUCAUUUUGACUCUUCACUGUGUAACAAUCAUGGGGGACUUAAAUCACCAUAAUAUUAAAAAAAAGUCCUUGUCAAGGCAAUGGUCA
rnacentral:lncRNA from 1 species